CUUGGUCAUCGAUCCUCCCUCUGUCGGCACGUUGGCACCCGCGCAUCAUCACGAGGGAGAACACCGUCGUGCGUGUCGACCCGCGACCAUCGGGUCAUGGGCGCUCUAGCCGCGCGGGCCCGGCGCCUAUGUCGCGCACCGGGCCCGCGGGUCGAUGAAGCAGACGCUCGAGUUCGCUACCCGAUCAGAGGCAUGUCCCCUCUCCGGGG
rnacentral:misc_RNA from 1 species